GAUUCGUCACACUAUCAUUAACUGAAUCCAUAGGUUAAUGAGGCGAACCGGGGGAACUGAAACAUCUAAGUACCCCGAGGAAAAGAAAUCAACCGAGAUUCCCCCAGUAGCGGCGAGCGAACGGGGAGGAGCCCAGAGCCUGAAUCAGCAUGUGUGUUAGUGGAAGCGUCUGGAAAGGCGCGCGAUACAGGGUGACAGCCCCGUACACAAAAGCGCAUGUGCUGUGAGCUCGAUGAGUAGGGCGGGACACGUGGUAUCCUGUCUGAAUAUGGGGGGACCAUCCUCCAAGGCUAAAUACUCCUGACUGACCGAUAGUGAACCAGUACCGUGAGGGAAAGGCGAAAAGAACCCCGGCGAGGGGAGUGAAAAAGAACCUGAAACCGUGUACGUACAAGCAGUGGGAGCACAGGUUUACCUGUGUGACUGCGUACCUUUUGUAUAAUGGGUCAGCGACUUAUAUUCUGUAGCAAGGUUAACCGUAUAGGGGAGCCGGAGGGAAACCGAGUCUUAAU
rnacentral:rRNA from 2 species